rnacentral:rRNA from 1 species
GACGAACGCUGGCGGCGUGCUUAACACAUGCAAGUCGAACGGAAAGGCCCUGCUUUUGUGGGGUGCUCGAGUGGCGAACGGGUGAGUAACACGUGAGUAACCUGCCCUUGACUUUGGGAUAACUUCAGGAAACUGGGGCUAAUACCGGAUAGGAGCUCCUGCUGCAUGGUGGGGGUUGGAAAGUUUCGGCGGUUGGGGAUGGACUCGCGGCUUAUCAGCUUGUUGGUGGGGUAGUGGCUUACCAAGGCUUUGACGGGUAGCCGGCCUGAGAGGGUGACCGGCCACAUUGGGACUGAGAUACGGCCCAGACUCCUACGGGAGGCAGCAGUGGGGAAUAUUGCACAAUGGGCGGAAGCCUGAUGCAGCAACGCCGCGUGCGGGAUGACGGCCUUCGGGUUGUAAACCGCUUUCGCCUGUGACGAAGCGUGAGUGACGGUAAUGGGUAAAGAAGCACCGGCUAACUACGUGCCAGCAGCCGCGGUGAUACGUAGGGUGCGAGCGUUGUCCGGAUUUAUUGGGCGUAAAGGGCUCGUAGGUGGUUGAUCGCGUCGGAAGUGUAAUCUUGGGGCUUAACCCUGAGCGUGCUUUCGAUACGGGUUGACUUGAGGAAGGUAGGGGAGAAUGGAAUUCCUGGUGGAGCGGUGGAAUGCGCAGAUAUCAGGAGGAACACCAGUGGCGAAGGCGGUUCUCUGGGCCUUUCCUGACGCUGAGGAGCGAAAGCGUGGGGAGCGAACAGGCUUAGAUACCCUGGUAGUCCACGCUGUAAACGGUGGGUACUAGGUGUGGGGUCCAUUCCACGGGUUCCGUGCCGUAGCUAACGCUUUAAGUACCCCGCCUGGGGAGUACGGCCGCAAGGCUAAAACUCAAAGGAAUUGACGGGGCCCCGCACAAGCGGCGGAGCAUGCGGAUUAAUUCGAUGCAACGCGUAGAACCUUACCUGGGUUUGACAUGGAUCGGGAGUGCUCAGAGAUGGGUGUGCCUCUUUUGGGGUCGGUUCACAGGUGGUGCAUGGCUGUCGUCAGCUCGUGUCGUGAGAUGUUGGGUUAAGUCCCGCAACGAGCGCAACCCUUGUUCACUGUUGCCAGCACGUUAUGGUGGGGACUCAGUGGAGACCGCCGGGGUCAACUCGGAGGAAGGUGGGGAUGACGUCAAGUCAUCAUGCCCCUUAUGUCCAGGGCUUCACGCAUGCUACAAUGGCUGGUACAGAGAGUGGCGAGCCUGUGAGGGUGAGCGAAUCUCGGAAAGCCGGUCUCAGUUCGGAUUGGGGUCUGCAACUCGACCUCAUGAAGUCGGAGUCGCUAGUAAUCGCAGAUCAGCAACGCUGCGGCGAAUACGUUCCCGGG